AUUGAACGCUGGCGGCGUGGCUAAAGCAUGCAAGUCGAGCGAACCCGCAAGGGUGAGCGGCGGACGGGUUAGUAAUACGAUCGAACGUGCCCUGAGGGCGGGGGAGUAGGCGUGGGAAACGUAGCGCGUAAUACCCCACUGAUCUCUCCGGAGGCAAAGGUUUAACCUACCUUGGGAGUCGGCGAUCGUCCUAUCAGCUAGUUGGCGGGGUAAAGGGACCCACCAAGGCUAUGACGGGUAGCAGGUGNGAGAGCACGACCUGCAAC
rnacentral:rRNA from 1 species